rnacentral:rRNA from 1 species
AUGGCCAAGAUGAACAAGCUGCGACAGGGGUACUUCAAAUAUGCCAAGCAUCACACAGAUGCGGAGGCUGAAGCGGUCCUCUUGACUGAGAUAUUCAGAGCUCAAGGGAAGGAGGUGCUGCCGCGAGGUACAUAUGAGCUCGAGGAUCCUACUGUUAAGAUGCCAGGGACGGAAUUCAUGGAGAAAAUAUCAAUACUGCUGGAGUAUUUCAUCCGUGAACGGUUGAAGAUGGACCCUGAGUGGAAAGACAUCAAGGUCGGUCGUUGCUUGAUGAGUUCCCCAUGUCUCCUCUUUCUGAAGGUAAUAUUAUCUGAUGCAAAUGUUCCUGGAGAAGGGGAGCACAAGAUCAUGUCCUUCAUUCGGGCACAACGGAGCACGGAAAACUAUGAUCCGAACACCCGUCAUUGUAUGCAUGGGCAUGAUGCAGAUCUCAUAAUGCUCGCUUUGGCAUCUCACGAAGUCCACAUUUCAAUUUUGCGGGAGGUCAAUCCAAAUGGCAGGAUACCGGCAAGACUGUAUCAGUUUGUGAACAUAUGGGUUCUGAGAGAGUACUUGGAAAUUGAAAUGAAGGCACCAGAUUGCAACCAAGAUAUUGAGAGACUAAUAGAUGACUUUAUCCUUAUUUGUUUCUUGACGGGAAACGAUUUCAUUCCACGGAUUCCUUCACUAGAGAUAAAUGAAUUUGCAGUUGAUCUUCUCAUUGAAGUGUACAAGACAACCUUCAACAAAAUGGGGGGCUAUAUUAUCAACACAGACAAAAUCAAUGAUAAAAACGGCACGUAUCUGGAAGUCUCGAGGUUGGAAAAGUUCCUUCAUGAGUUGUCCUUGUGCGAAGAGAGAAUUUUACUCAAAAGAUAUGAACUUCGAGAGAAGUUACUGUGCAAGAUACAGCGUGAAGCUGCGGAAGACAAAUGGGCCAAGGGAGAGGACAGGGCCGAGAAGAAAACGUCCUCCGCGCAAGUUUAUUUGUAUCCUGUGGAGACUCGGCUUGAAAAAAAGUCUAAUGACGUGGUCAGAAAGAAUACCAGGGAGCUGUGGAGAACUGUUAAUGACAUUUGCCGUAGUAAGGAUGACCUUUCUAAAAAUGGAGCCUGCAAACAAGAGAGGAUAAGACUGGGGUGGAAAUCCCAGUUCUACACAGAGAAAUUUGGUGCCGAAACUUCUAAUGAAGUUGGAAGGCUGCAGACUGAAAUGGUUCAGAAGUAUUUAGAAGGAUUAUGUUGGGUGCUACAAUGCUAUUUUUCUGAAGUUCCUUCAUGGACUUGGUGCUACCCAUUCAAUUAUGCUCCUUUCGCAUCUGAUUUCAAAUAUCUGUCUCAAUUCAAGACAUCUUUCACCAUGGACAAACCACUAAGAGCAUUUGAUCAGCUCAUGGCAGUUUUGCCACCAGAAAAGCAUGUUUUGUCAUGUGCCCUUCCAAAAUGUUACAGCAAAUUAAUAGGCUGUGAAGAUUCCAUAAUACAAAUAUUCUAUCCGUCAGAGUUCGAGAUUGAUUCAGAUGGGAAACGUUUCUUGUCGCAAGGCAUUGCAAAGUUGCCAUUCAUAGAUAAGGAACUGCUGCUUUCAGCCACCAAAAUGGUAGAGAAAGAUCUCACGGAGGAUGAAAUGAGACUUAAUGAUGUUCGGCAAGAGAGGAUCUUCCUGAGGAACUCACACAGUCUGGCAAAUAAUGCAGCAUUUGUGCCAGCAAUGUCCGACUAUCCGCAGGAAAAGCUUUGGAUGGACACUAGUGAAAUCGGAGGAUGGCUCUCACCAGAUGAGGGGGCUCAGAGCUUUGCAUCAAGAAAAAACAAGGUUCAAUACGUGUCGAUGUCAAUAAGCGAUAUAGAUAUGACAGUAUCAGCAAUGUUCUUUAACCCUGAGGCAGUGAAGCCGAUUUCAAGAUUACUUGACAAUGUCAUAGUGCCUGACAAGACUAUAACUGAAGCGGACAUUCGGAAGAGACCGAUGUGGCACACGUACCCGGGUCCAAGGCCAAGACCGCCGCAUAUCACCCACAGGCCAGAGACCCUGUGCAGGGCGAGCUCGACGGCGACACCGAGGGAAGAGCAUAAGCUAGCCGGGGAGGGGUGGCUGGGACGGGGGAGAGGAAGCGCCCCCGCCCCCGCCGCCCCCGCUUCCCAGACACGGCAGAUCGGGCCGAGCGGCUACGGGAGAGGUUCCCAUGGUGUGGACAUGGCGCAGAGCCGAGGCGGCCGGUUCGACGGCGGUGAUGAGUGGGCAGGAGGAGGAGGAGGCGGCGGCGGCACGGUGAAGAGGCCGGAGACGGAGGGGCGGCCCGUUGGGUUGUGGGCGAGAGGAGGCGGCCGUCGCGGGAGCGGGCCAGCCCGCGCGCGGUAG